UACGGAGGGUGCAAACGUUGCUCGGAAUCAUUGGGCGUAAAGCGCACGUAGGCGGCUAGUUAAGUCGGAUGUGAAAUCCCUCGGCUCAACCGAGGAAGUGCAUUCGAAACUGGCUGGCUUGAAUAUGGAAGAGGGUCGCGGAAUUCCCGGUGUAGAGGUGAAAUUCGUAGAUAUCUGGAGGAACACCGGUGGCGAAGGCGGCAUCCUGGACCAAUACUGACGCUGAGGAGCGAAAGCCAGGGGAGCAAACGGG
rnacentral:rRNA from 1 species